rnacentral:rRNA from 1 species
UACAGAGGGGGCGAGCGUUGUUCGGAAUUACUGGGCGUAAAGGGCGCGUAGGCGGCCCGCUAAGUCGAACGUGAAAUCCCCAGGCUCAACCUGGGAACUGCGUCCGAUACUGGCAGGCUUGAAUCCGGGAGAGGGAUGUGGAAUUCCAGGUGUAGCGGUGAAAUGCGUAGAUAUCUGGAGGAACACCGGUGGCGAAGGCGGCAUCCUGGACCGGUAUUGACGCUGAGGCGCGAAAGCUAGGGGAGCAAACGGG